rnacentral:lncRNA from 1 species
CGUUCUUUUGUGGUCUGAUACAGGCUGUAGGUUUGGUAGGUUAAGUCCAAGUCAAGCAAGUUAUGUGUCCGUGUACGUGUUGUGCUAGGUUAUAUUGAAGUCGGCUAUGCUAGCCAUGGUCAGGACGGUGCAUAUAUAUAUGCACACAUAUGUUGCUAUGUAACACCAGAAAAAUGGGAAAAGCAACAAAGAGAUAUUUAUGAGGCACGACACGUGCCUCUGGCCAUCUUCGUAUUGAUGCGUUCGCGUGCGUGUGUUCUGGUCCCGGUGUUUGCGUGAGCGCCGGCGAGAUAUCGAGUGCUACAGCUAGUUCGUAUACGUUGAGCCGAGUUGCGUGUGCACGACUAGUCGAGCUGCAGGGUGACCGUGUGCUCGAUCCUGAGGGGAAAAAGCCAACAAUUGGUAUCAGAGCAAGGUGUGGA